rnacentral:rRNA from 1 species
CGAAGCCUGACGGAGCAAUACCGCGUGAGGGAAGAAGGCUUUUGGGUUGUAAACCUCUUUUGUCAGGGAAGAAGAAUUGACGGUACCUGAAGAAAAAGCAUCGGCUAACUCCGUGCCAGCAGCCGCGGUAAUACGGAGGAUGCAAGCGUUAUCCGGAAUCAUUGGGCGUAAAGGGUCCGCAGGUGGCGAAUAAAGUCUGCUGUUAAAGACCGGGGCUAAACUCCGGAAAGGCAGUGGAAACUGAUUAGCUAGAGUACGGUAGGGGUAGAGGGAAUUCCCAGUGUAGCGGUGAAAUGCGUAGAUAUUGGGAAGAACACCGGUGGCGAAAGCGCUCUACUAGGCCGAAACUGACACUGAGGGACGAAAGCUAGGGUAGCGAAAGGGAUUAGAUACCCCUGUAGUCUUAGCGGUAAACGAUGGAUACUAGGUGUAGCUUGUAUCGACCCGAGCUGUGCCGAAGCUAACGCGAUAAGUAUCCCGCCUGGGGAGUACGCACGCAAGUGUGAAACUCAAAGGAAUUGACGGGGGCCCGCACAAGCGGUGGAGUAUGUGGUUUAAUUCGAUGCAACGCGAAGAACCUUACCAGGGCUUGACAUGUCGCGAAUCUAGCGGAAACGUUAGAGUGCCUUAGGGAAUGCGAACACAGGUGGUGCAUGGCUGUCGUCAGCUCGUGUCGUGAGAUGUUGGGUUAAGUCCCGCAACGAGCGCAACCCUCGUCCUUAGUUGCCAAUAUUAAGUUAGGCACUCUAGGGAGACUGCCGGGGACAACUCGGAGGAAGGUGGGGAUGACGUCAAGUCAGCAUGCCCCUUACGUCCUGGGCGACACACGUACUACAAUGGUUGGGACAAAGGGCAGCAAGCUCGCGAGAGUAAGCGAAUCUCAUCAAACCCAGCCACAGUUCAGAUUGCAGGCUGCAACUCGCCUGCAUGAAGUAGGAAUCGCUAGUAAUCGCAGGUCAGCAUACUGCGGUGAAUUCGUUCCCGUGCCUUGUACACACCGCCCGUCACACCAUGGAAGCUGGCUACGCCCGAAGUCGUUACCCUAACCCGGUUUUGGGAGGGGGAUGCCGAAGGUAGAGCUAGUGACUGGGGUGAAGUCGUAACAAGGUAGCCGUACCGGAAGGUGUGGCUGGAUCACCUCCUUU